rnacentral:rRNA from 1 species
GACGAACGCUGGCGGCGUGGAUUAGGCAUGCAAGUCGGACGGUAGGGCUUUAUCGUAAGAUAGAGUUUGAGAGUGGCGAACGGGUGAGUAACACGUAGGAAUCUACCCUUAAGACGGGGACAACCCAGGGAAACUUGGGCUAAUACCGGAUGAGAGUGCGAGAGAUUGCAUUUAAAAGGAUGGCGAAAGUUGUCGCUUAGGGAUGAGCCUGCGGUCUAUUAGUUAGUUGGUGAGGUAAGAGCUCACCAAGCCGAUGACGGGUAGCCGGCCUGAGAGGGUGACCGGCCCGAGGGGCACUGAGAUACGGGUCCCACUCCUACGGGAGGCAGCAGGCUAGAAAUUUGGGCAAUGGGGGAAACCCUGACCCAGUGACGCCGCGUGCAGGAAGGAGCCCUUCGGGGUGUAAACUGCUGUCGUGUAGGGAGAAGGGUACUAAGGUGAACAAUCUUAGUACUUGACGGUACUACAGGAGGAAGCCAGGCUAACCUCGUGCCAGCAGCCGCGGUAAGCUACGUAGA